CCAUUUUUUACAUCCUUAGACACCAUUGCGAUGGAUCACUUUCAACACUACAAAAUGUUAGGGCAAAUAAAUUUUCUCCCUUUUUCGUCUCAUUCCCUUCUUCCGCCAUGCGAAAGGGCCAACAUCACCCUAUACUUCUAUCGGUGACAAGCUACUCCAGCGCCGGCCUUUAGGAAAUCCGGUUUGAAAGAAGAUUGGCUUACGGGUUCAUUUCUAUGAUUGUAAAGGCUAUUAUAAAUCCGGCGCAAAGGAAAUUGGAAUCAUAAUUCUGUACCGGAGUAAAACCAUGACACAUGCCGCGCCAUUUGAGCAUAAAAGUUGUGGUUUUUGCGCAGUUCAUUCCGCGCCAAUUCCUCAUUUUUCUGGUCUUUAAUCAAUUGCUAUAAGGAUAGGUCCGUGUUGUUUUUAUUAGCUUCUGGUGAUAAUGGAAUACUAGAAGUCAUGGCUGAUCCCCAAGACAUAUUUACGAAAUGAGCUAAACAAGAUUCCCCCCGAAGGGUGGACUCCAGCUGUUCGGGUGACUCUGUACCGACAGACUCUUGGGGAAAAGAGCAAGAAGCGCUCGAAGGUUGACAGUGCUACGAGUUCAGGUCAUCCCCUCAGUGAAGCAACUAGUUUAAUAGAUAUUGUAGCAUUCCAGCAAGGGUGGGAAAAAAUGCAUAAUGGAAUUGCAGAGUUGACAGCAACGAUGACUGAAUUCAAAACUAUCAAGGCUGAUGUGUAUCCAUUCAUGCACAGAAACUCCAAAGCAGUUACUGGCCCAUUUGAAGUAGUCGUAAUAUCCGUACUUUUCAUAAUUCUAUCCUAUGAGCUUUGGAUGGCUUAGGAAUUCACUAUGAUCUGUUUAUUCUUGAUAGGCCACAACUCGUAUUGAUACGGUCUCUGAGCUUAUCAGGCCUAUUUCCGAAUCACCUAUGAUGGUUGGCACCUGUGUGCUUAUAUUAUCUUAUACUAGAUAAAAGAAAUUUUUUGCUAAGGGACUUUUGCUCUGCCCCCCUAUGCCUGGUGACACAUUUUUCUUGUCAAGGUUUUCAUUACAUUCGCCUCAGUCCCGGACACACCACUUAUUUUUCCGACAAUUGCUGGGGUGACUUCCAUUCGCGAUGUUGUCGGUGAAGAUCCUAUUGAGUGGAAUUACAAGGAUGUUCGGAUAUACUUUCAUAACUUUCAUUUAUUGAAUUCCAAAACUUAAAAGAAAUAUUACUUAAACUAAACCUUCUUCUGUUGAUAAUUGCAGCUCAUGCCCACCCCUGAAGCAUAUCAACCGAUUCCUUAAUGUUUUGCCCCCGUUUGCCUUAUGGAUUGGAUGUCGUAGAUAAGUUUGGAUGGUAGGUUGUUACGGCUAUGUGAAAUACCUAUGGAAUAAAUACAUAGACAUUUGGAGUUAUCUUUUGUGUGGUAAGAAUUAUUGCUAUGGAUUGAUGGAUUUCCCCACUUGCUUAUUACUAGGUUGGAUGUUUAAAAUGCUUACGUUUUGCGGAACAUAAUUUCGAAGUGAAGAUGUUGCUAGGCUUGUUUGAUGGGUUACUUUAUUUUGUUGUUUGGUGGUGAACAUCGACUAGUAAAUAUUGUUAUGUUAAUAUCCUAUGUUGGGAUUCCUUUAUAGUGUUUAUUGUUUGCA